ACCAGCAGCCAUAUCACUCUGCAACUCACAACUAGCAAUCCACUAAAGCUAAGCAGGUGUGAGCCUGGUCAGUACCUGGAUUGGAGACCUCUUGGGAAAAAACUAAGGUUGCUGCUGGAA
rfam:Lepisosteus oculatus unplaced genomic scaffold TNK12, whole genome shotgun sequence.